GCCGGGCACAGUGGCAUGUACCUGUAGUCCCAGCUACGUGGGAGGCUGAGGUGGGAGGAUUGCUUGAGCCCAGGAAUUCUGGGCUGUAGUGCACUAGCCCAUUGGGUGUCCGCACUAAGCUCGGCAUCAAUAUGGUGAUGGGUGAACCAUCCCAGGUCGGAAACGGAGCAGGUCAAAACUCCCGUGCUGAUCAGUAGUGGGAUUGGGCCUGUGAAUAGCCACUGCACUCCAGCCUGGGCAACAUAGUGAGACCCAUAUCUC
ensembl:misc_RNA Metazoa_SRP Metazoan signal recognition particle RNA